GAUGAACGCUCGCUACAGGCUUAACACAUGCAAGUCGAGGGGAAACGUUGAGAGAGCUUGCUCUCUUAGGCGUCGACCGGCGCACGGGUGAGUAACGCGUAUCCAACCUACCCAUUACAGGGGGAUAACCUUGCGAAAGUAAGACUAAUACCCCAUGGCAUUUUAUGGUGGCAUCAUUAUAGGAUUAAAGAUUUAUUGGUAAUGGAUGGGGAUGCGUCUGAUUAGCUUGUUGGCGGGGUAACGGCCCACCAAGGCAACGAUCAGUAGGGGUUCUGAGAGGAAGGUCCACCACAUUGGAACUGCGACACGGUCCAAACUCCUACGGGAGGCAGCAGUGAGGAAUAUUGGUCAAUGGGCGAGAGCUUGAACCAGCCAAGUAGCGUGCAGGAUGACGGCCCUAUGGGUUGUAAUCUGCUUUUAUAGGGGAAUAAAGUGAGCUACGUGUAGUUUAUUGCAUGUACCCUAUGAAUAAGGACCGGCUAAUUCCGUG
rnacentral:rRNA from 1 species